CUUCUAAUAACUACUAUGAGCAAGCCAAGAUCCAGCUGUACCCAAAUAGAAAAGGAGAGGCCUUUAUUUCUUAGGUAUCAAUGACAUCAUCAAUAGCAAGCAAUUAUCACCUUCAACAGGACUGAGGUAGGCAAUGAGUACACCAUGGAAAGGAAACAGAGCAGUUCAGCUAGGAAUGCCCACUUGCAUCUGUGAGCACACUAAUACAUGUGACAGCACAAGAGGCAGGGAGAGAGAGUGUAAGUGCCUCAGUAAGUGGAAAUACAGUGAAUAACCUUAAGGAUUAAAGUGCAUCAGAUCCUUAUGGCAAAUGACACCAGCCUGCCGUCAGUUACGGGAAAAAUACCUCUGUUCCUUUCAUGAAGUAGCUCUGCCACUGAGGUUUCAAGGACAAAAUGAAGAGGGUUUGUUGCCUGGGGGAAAAAGGGGGCAUUCAAUUCAGUUUUUUAUAUACUGGCAUGAAGAAAAUCCAGGCUGCAGGGAUUUUUGACCUGCAAACAUCUGGCUGUUGUUUUAGCGUAUGAUAAAUUCCAACACUCCAAUCUCUCUUUGGGGUACAUAUUAAUAGGUGAUAGACCUGAAAUAAAAGCUCAUGUUAAACGAAAAGGUUCACAAGUUUGUUGGUUUAGUGGAGCUCUGGGAGGAGAGAUGGGGGGAAAGAAAAGCAGACAGGAUAAUCUAAAGAGUAAGAACAGAUUGAUAGCUAGCACAAGGAAAAGCAAUGUGAGAGAAUUCAAAGAGGGAAAAAAAGGCUGAAAUUAAACAAUUCUUGAUGUUUUCUUCAUCAAUAGAGGAAUCUGUGUGGUUAUUCAUAAAUAUUACCAAGGAAGCAGUGAAUUCAAUAAGAUUAUUUCUUCUCAGUAGAAGGAAUUUGAG